CCCAAGGGAGACAUCAAGAAUCGUGCGGGGGAGGCAGCGUCUCUGCUGCAUGCCAACCCUGCGGCACUGUCUCGAUCUCUCAACUUCCAGGAGACCUCCUAGAGGAGAAGUUUGCAUGGUAGGAAGAAGAAGAUUGUUAGCAACAAGAUGCAGCAGUAGGAAAUAGUGUAGCCUUGUGUUAGAUGUGAUGGUUUGGUUGGGUGAGAGGAGAGUGAGAAGUUAUUCUGCACAUAAAUAACUCUGCAAACUUGAUUGAGGAGAAUGAUCAAAGUCGCUGUUUGCUUAGAUUCUUUACUGGAUGCUAUCAGUACUGCAUCUUCUUCUGGUUACUGCCUGGAUCUACUUAGACAAGCUUAGCUUUCUGAGUUCCUUGGUGCUGAAAAGUAGAGCAGAUGGAAACAUGGCCAGGAAAAGCUCAGAUGUCAGCAGAGAUGUCUACAUUGGCUUGUUUGUCAGUGUCAAGGUAGGGAGUAGGAGGGUGGCAGAGACAACUGCUUGCAGUUGUGGCUGCAAUAAUACAAGACACAGCUGAAGAGGGUGUGGAAAGGGUUGAGAGCAAGACAAGCAAAAAGGAGAGGAAGGUGUCCUUUGGGCCCCCCACUUCUUCUCCCACUGAACACAGACCUAAAUUUAUUGCCACAGGCAGCCAUUCAUCUUGCUCUUUUGAGGGCCACGACCAAAGUGACUUCUACUGAAAGGUGGAAAAAGAGAGGAGGAAGAUGAUAACUAAGCCAUAUACAAUCAUUUUGCCACAAUGACAAGAAGGGAAGACAACAUACUCCCUGGAAAUAUUUACAUUCUAUGCUCUAAUGUUUUAUAUAGUUUAUUCUAUUUAUGAUCAACUUUCUAUGAUAUUGUUUCUCUUGGAAUAAUAUAAUUUCUCUGCAUCUAAAUCAGUAUAAAACUAGAUAUCUACCUUCAGAUGAUCUAAAACACCAAGAUGCUUAUAUGCAUUUCUAGCACAUUGAUUUACUGUCACCUAGACUUCUCCUAUUUCUCAGUAAAAGGGUUGAAUCAUAAGUCAGCACAUGAAAUGAUGCCACUAUGUUUAACCCUGACCUACAUCUGUAUCCAUUUCUCUACUGGUUGAUCACCUUACUAAGUCAUUUUGUUUAACCCUGAAAGAAUUUUUAGACCAGAUUGGUAAAGAUGGCAAUAGACAGGGAGAGCCAUGUCUUCAUCAUCAUGCUUGCUUCUGGUAAGCACUAAACAAUACUGACUGCAGUCAUAUGUAACUUUUGAAUUAUGGUCAGACAAGUUGAUAAUGAGAUGAAAAGAGGCCAUACAUGAAGCACAUCUGAUUUAGUGGACAUCAUGAAGAAAAAAGAAAAGCUGUAAUGGCAACAUAUGGUUCAAAAAAUCACAGGAGGGAAAUAAGAAAAACACUGCAAGAAUUAAUGACAUAUCACCUGUUAGUGUGUUGCAUGAUGCACGAGGAGUGACCAGGCCUUCAGCAGCAGAAAAUUCAGAGUCCAUGAUGACUAAGUUACAACUGCUUGAUUGAGGCAUAGCUACAAAAAAUAGUUUCAUGGUUAAGAAUAACCUUUUAGCAGCACAAUAGCUCUAAAGAAGAAGAUAACCCAAACCAUUUAGUAAUGUCAUGUUUUCGUCAUCGCAUAUAACAAAAAUCCAUUUUCGGUCUAAUAGGCUGGAAGUAACUAAAGUUAGAUUAGCGGAAUCUGUGCUUCAAGCAACUCAGAGAUAGAAGCCUUCCGUUGUGUAUAAUAGCACAUCUCAUUUCCUGAUGUGCAUUCCUAUGAUUGAUGCAUGUCCAAAUUGUACCACAACCUACAGACUAAAAUGAAGUCUACAUGCAACAUAACUUUUACCAGUUGGAUCACUGACAGAACAUGCCUGCCCGUUCGAGAUCAUUGGUCAAAGAGAUCAGCUUCUUCUGAAUCUAUGGGAAGAUACAUGUAGCUUUAGAGCAAUCCCCCUGUCGUGAACUUAUUGGAAGCUUCAUAUGUGAUUGAAGGCACUGAAGCUCAAAGUAUACCACUUGGGCAAAAGCAUGAGUGCACUUCUCCAUUCAAAUGACCUCACUAUGGCAACUAGUGGAGGGGAACUUGAAAGAAAGAUGGACCAUGAAACUGGGGAUGAGAAACAUGUAAAAAUAGGAAUAACUCAUGCCCUUUUGAUGUCUACUUCAUUAAUGAGGUAUGCAUGAAAACAAAAGAUGCAAGAGAAAGAAUGGAUGACAUAACUCGAGAUUGAGAAUUCACUGAACAAGCACAAUUCAGGAACAAGAAACAGGAUACUUCUUCGAGGUCACUGAACAAGCACAAUUCAGGAACAAGAAACAGGAUACUUCUUCGAGGUUUGGAAUAUGGUACUCAUCAAUUAUUGUUGGGAUCCAAUCAAGAUUGGCUGAUGCAUGUUCUGAGGUGACAAAUGGGACCAUCUUAUUCCAUGGCUCCAAUGAAAGAUUGGAUGGUUCCAAUAAAAGAUGCAAUGACCAAGUACAAAGACAAGUAGGACUUUUUGAUGCCAAGGAAUGUGAAGAACCUCGGACAUGAUUCAGAAGAAUUUGAGACAGAUUCACAUGCAUGUGAAGGACUUAAGAAUGUAGAGGGUGGAACUUAGUGUCAUGCUAAAUCAUUUUGCUUGCAAGGAGUUCAAGAUUUCAUGGUUGUCUUGUUAUAAGACUAUGUUCAAAAUUCCAUUAUUGGUUGGAAGAAAAAUGAGGCAUGUCUGUAUGAAUGCAAGAAAAGACAUGAAGAACUUGUUUCAUGCUCCUACUUUUUUGACUUAGAUUUUCUAAUUUUCAAGAAAAAGUUCAUUUUCAUGUCAUUUUUUCUGCACUCAUCAAUCCAUGCAUUAUACUCAUUGCAUUUCAUGCACUCAGAUAUUUUUUUUUAUAAUACUCAUUUUACUUUCACCUUUUUUUUUUUUGGAGUUGAAAUAUGGUAUUUUCAUACCAUACUCUCAGUACAAACCUGUACAUUUGUACAAUUCAAACCCAGUAUCAUGCAUGAGUUUUCCUACAUGAAGAAAUAUGGAUUCUUUACAGUCGGCAAAAUCAAAAGGAUAAUUACCAGCAAAACACAUUGAUUUAUUGCCCAAAUUAUUUCCCCCUUUUCACUCUAUAUGGAUAAUAUUUGUGUGUUUCACUAAACCUAGCUGAAGCCAGUCCAAUAUUCUAUUACUCUCUAACAAAGAAACUCAUGUUAACCUUCAAUACUUGCAAAUAACAAACAUUAACUGUCACUCACAAAAAGUUUAGUCGCACCUUUGCCAGUUCAACCCAUGCACCAACAUUGACUUUCUUGCCAAAUGGAAGACUUUUGACUGCUGUUAUUUGUCAACUAUACCAUGGGAAUAAAAUGAUGUCAUAUACAAUCAAAGGAACAAUGAAAGAUUAUUUUUUUAUGCCUCAGUAUGUUUUCAUGAUUAAACUCUCCUUACUGGAACAAUGAAAGAUCAAAACAGCCUCAAGUAAGUAUUCACCUCAAGCCAUGGAAACAAAAGUUGUUGCCAAAUCCCCAUUAACAGAGCACACCAACCCACCUAUACAUGAAAAACAUUUACCGUUUUACUGACACAAUGCCUGCUUGCUUUGUUGCUUUGUGAUGAGUUUAUCAGGUCAUGUGAUAUCCAUGAUAUCAUGGGGAGAAAAUAUUCUAGGCCACAAGAAGGAACUGGAGGAGGAGUUCUGACUAAAUUUUACUUCAGGCAGACAUGAUGAUCAAGUCUUGGUUCUUCACACUGUUCAUCAUCUCAGCUCUUCUCUCACCAACCAUGGCCCAAGGUAUUCUUUUUUGUGUGAGUCCUUUCCCCAAGGAUACAUCAACACUGUUCACCAAGGUAUGACUAAACAACCUCCUUGCAGUCCUUUCCCCAUGUUUACUUUUUGGUGAAAAGGAAGAGGGUAGCUGACUCAUGUUUGUUCUUGCCGGGUGCUACGAAUGUGGAAGAACUACUACUCCGAGGUCUUCAGAUAUUGUUAGAUCUAAAUCUGAACCUGGGGUGAGUCUUCUUGUUCUUUGUUUUCUCUUCCUUGAUGUUGAGUCCAUUAGCAAAAAGGUUAUUUAGCUACUGGAUGGUUAUUUUGUUUCAUGGAGGGUUAUGGGAAGGAAAGGAGAUGGAGGAGAUAGAUGGCUAUGGACUACCAGGAACCUGGACCCAACACCUAUUCCAGGAGUGGAUAGGUGUGCAUUUACUUCAAAACAGGAUCAGUAUAUAUAAGCAUCUGAGAAAUUUGAUACUUGAGAAAUCAUUAUGUGGAAUUGGUCAAGAACAAUAAGAAGAUGAGCUAUGCAUCACAAUCAUUCAUCCACGUUUUACUAUUGCAUUUAUCACUCAAUCCAGCAAAGAGAUGAAUAUAGAAAUUAAGUUGGUGAAUAUAGAAUUAUGACGAAAAAACCACUUCUUUCUCAAAAUACUUGGAAAAUAACAAAAGGCCGACUCCACAAGAUCAAGAGAUGGAACCGAGGAGGCUGCAAGAAACACAAAGAGGUCGAGAAAAUUCAAGAAUUUGGUCGAAACACCAUCGAAAUACGAGCUGGUUAAAUUUAAGACAAUAACCCAAGAAAGAUCAUUCCUUUCUCAAAAUCUUUUGCAAGGGAAAGAAUCGAUUCUUUCUCCUCAAGUUCAAACGAUUAAAGAACAGCAACCGGGAAAACCCUAGGAAUGUCAUACGGGUAGAGCCGACAUCAUUCCCUAGAAAUUUCGAGAUACGAGAAGAUUAAUUUAAGACAAUUACCACAAAACAUCAUUCCUUUCUCAAAAUUUUUACAAGCAAUAAUGCAAGAAGGACUCAGAUAUAAAGAAGAAGAAAACGCAAAAGCCGACAUUUCAAGAAACACAAAGAAGUCGAGACUCUUUCAAGAUUUGGUCGACACAUCCACAUACGGGACGAGUGACCUUGUCGCAUCGGGGCAACCGAAGCGCUUCCAGUGACAAUGUGGCGGAGGGCGUUGCGGCGCCAUUCUUACCUUACCUUGUCCGCCCCGUAGCCUAGCGUCGGCGUCCUACAAUGCAAAGAAAGCCCAUGGCUUUGGUCAUCGCCAUUGUAACGCACGGACGGGCCGUGUCGGUUAAGGCCGCCUGUGCUCAGCCACGAACCCCCUGGUGCCUGACAAAGAGGUGCGCAACGGGGAGUCUUGAGGAGCUCCGGCGCGCGGCGGCGGAGCGACGCCACGGCUGUCACGAAAUUACAGAAACAGUUGUUUUUAGAUAAAUAUCGCUGAAUAUUUUGGAAAUAGCGUCCUUACGCAUAUAAAUUCUAU
rnacentral:lncRNA from 1 species